rnacentral:rRNA from 1 species
ACACUGCACGCACGUGCGAUAAGGGGACUCCGAGUGCGAGGGCAUAUCGUCCUCGCUUUCGUGUACCGUAGGGUGGUACACCAACAAGGGCUGGGCAAGACCGGUGCCAGCCGCCGCGGUAAUACCGGCAGCCCGAGUGAUGGCCGAUCUUAUUGGGCCUAAAGCGUCCGUAGCUGGCUGCGCAAGUCCGUCGGGAAAUCCACUCGCCCAACGAGUGGGCGUCCGACGGAAACUGCACAGCUUGGGACCGGAAGGCUCGAAGGGUACGUUCGGGGUAGGAGUGAAAUCCCAUAAUCCCGCACGGACCACCGAUGGCGAAAGCACUUCGAGAAAACGGAUCCGACAGUAAGGGACGAAAGCCAGGGUCUCCAACCGGAUUAGAUACCCGGGUAGUCCUGGCCGUAAACAAUGUUCGCUAGGUAUGACACAGACUAGGCGUCUCUGUUGUGCCGUAGGGAAGCCGAGAACGCGAACCGCCUGGGAAGUACGUCUGCAAGGAUGAAAUUCAAAGGAAUUGACGGG